UGAGGUGUAUGAGCGUCUGGUCGAUGAUCAAUGGCCACACAACCCCCAUUUUUGUCGAAAAUAGCCAUGAACGACCAUUUUCAAUAAUACCGAAGGCUAACACCUACGGAUUUUUACCAAGAAAUGGUCUCCACCAGAAAUCCAAGAAUGUGAUCUAUGGCAAGGAAACAUAUGUGGGGUGAGGUGUAUGAGCCUCUAGUCGAUGAUCAAUGGCCACACAACCCCCAUUUUUGUCGAAAAUAGCCAUGAAUGACCAUUUUCAAAAAUACCAAAGGCUAACACGUACGGAUUUUUAACCAAGAAAUGGUCUCCACCAGAAAUCCAAGAAUGUGAUCUAUGGCAAGGAAACAUAUGUGGGGUGAGGUGUAUGAGCCUCUGGUCGAUGAUCAAUGGCCACACAACCCCCAUUUUUGUCGAAAAUAGCCAUGAACGACCAUUUUCAAUAAUAUCGAAGGCUAACACCUACGGAUUUUUGACCAAGAAAUGGUCUCCACCAGAAAUCCAAGAAUGUGAUCUACGACAAGGAAACAUAUGUGGGGUGAGGUGUAUGAGCCUCUGGUCGACGAUCAAUGGCCACACAACCCCCAUUUUGCCGAAAAUAGCCAUGAAUGACCAUUUUCAAUAAUAUCGAAGGCUAACACCUACGGAUUUUUGACCAAGAAAUGGUCUCCACCAGAAAUCCAAGAAUGUGAUCUACGACAAGGAAACAUAUGUGGGGUGAGGUGUAUGAGCCUCUGGUCGACGAUCAAUGGCCACACAACCCCCAUUUUGCCGAAAAUAGCCAUGAAUGACCAUUUUCAAUAAUACCGAAGGCUAACACGUACGAGUUUUUAACCAAGAAAUGGUUUCCACCAGAAAUCCAAGAAUGUAAUCUAUGGCAAGAAACAUAUGUGGGGUGAGGUUUAUGAGCCUCUAGUCGAUGAUAAAUGGCCACACAACCCCAUUUUUUAUGAAAAUAGCCAUGAGCGACCUUGAAAAUAGCCAUGAGCGACCAUUUUCAAUAAUACUAGAGGCUAACACCUACGGAUUUUAGACCAAGAAAUGGUCUCCACCAGAAAUCCAAGAAUGUGAUCUAUGGCAAGGAAACAUAUGUGGGGUGAGGUGUAUGAGCGUCUGGUCGAUGAUCAAUGGCCACACAACCCCCAUUUUUGUCGAAAAUAGCCAUGAACGACCAUUUUCAAUAAUACCGAAGGCUAACACCUACGGAUUUUUGACCAAGAAAUGGUCUCCACCAGAAAUCCAAGAAUGUGAUCUAUGGCAAGGAAACAUAUGUGGGGUGAGGUGUAUGAGCCUCUAGUCGAUGAUCAAUGGCCACACAACCCCCAUUUUUGUCGAAAAUAGCCAUGAAUGACCAUUUUCAAAAAUACCAAAGGCUAACACGUACGGAUUUUUAACCAAGAAAUGGUCUCCACCAGAAAUCCAAGAAUGUGAUCUAUGGCAAGGAAACAUAUGUGGGGUGAGGUGUACGAGCCUCUGGUCGAUGAUCAAUGGCCACACAACCCCCAUUUUGCCGAAAAUAGCCAUGAAUGACCAUUUUCAAUAAUACCGAAGGCUAACACGUACGAGUUUUUAACCAAGAAAUGGUCUCCACCAGAAAUCCAAGAAUGUGAUCUAUGGCAAGGAAACAUAUGUGGGGUGAGGUGUAUGAGCGUCUGGUCGAUGAUCAAUGGCCACACAACCCCCAUUUUUGUCGAAAAUAGCCAUGAACGACCAUUUUCAAUAAUACCGAAGGCUAACACCUACGGAUUUUUGACCAAGAAAUGGUCUCCACCAGAAAUCCAAGAAUGUGAUCUAUGGCAAGGAAACAUAUGUGGGGUGAGGUGUAUGAGCCUCUGGUCGACGAUCAAUGGCCACACAACCCCAUUUUUGUCGAAAAUAGCCAUGAACGACCAUUUUCAAUAAUACGAAGGCUAACACCUACGGAUUUUUGACCAAGAAAUGGUCUCCACCAGAAAUCCAAGAAUGUGAUCUAUGGCAAGGAAACAUAUGUGGGUGAGGUGUAUGAGCCUCUGGUCGAUGAUCAAUGGCCACACAACCCCCAUUUUUGUCGAAAAUAGCCAUGAAUGACCAUUUUCAAUAAUACCGAAGGCUAACACCUACGGAUUUUUGACCAAGAAAUGUCUCCACCAGAAAUCCAAGAAUGUGAUCUAUGGCAAGGAAACAUAUGUGGGGUGAGGUGUAUGAGCCUCUGGUCGACGAUCAAUGGCCACACAACCCCCAUUUUGCCGAAAAUAGCCAUGAAUGACCAUUUUCAAUAAUACCGAAGGCUAACACUACGAGUUUUUAACCAAGAAAUGGUCUCCACCAGAAAUCCAAGAAUGUAAUCUAUGGCAAGGAAACAUAUGUGGGGUGAG
rnacentral:lncRNA from 1 species